CCCUUCGGGGCGAAGAUAAGACGGAUUAGCGGCGGACGGGUGAGUAACACGUGAGUAACCUGCCUUUUACACAGGGAUAGCCUCGGGAAACCGGUAUUAAAACCUGAUGAAACUAUCAAAUCACAUGAUUAAGAAAGUUAAAACUCCGGUGGUAAAAAGAUGGACUCGCGUCCCAUUAGCUAGUUGGUGAAGGUAACGGCCCACCAAGGCAACGAUGGGUAGCCGGCCUGAGAGGGUGAACGGCCACAUUGGAACUGAGAAACGGUCCAAACUCCUACGGGAGGCAGCAGUC
rnacentral:rRNA from 1 species